rnacentral:rRNA from 1 species
UGGCGACCGGCGCACGGGUGAGUAACACGUAUGCAACCUGCCCUCCGCAGGGGGAUAACCCGGAGAAAUCCGGACUAAUACCGCGUGGUACAUCUGUGGGGCAUCCCACGGGUGUUAAAAGGAAGCGAUUCCGGCGGAGGAUGGGCAUGCGGCGCAUUAGCUAGUUGGCGGGGUAACGGCCCACCAAGGCGACGAUGCGUAGGGGUUCUGAGAGGAAGGUCCCCCACACUGGUACUGAGACACGGACCAGACUCCUACGGAAGGCAGCAG